UACGUAGGGUGCGAGCGUUGCCCGGAUUUAUUGGGCGUAAAGGGCGCGUAGGCGGCCAUGCGUGUCUUCCGUGAAAUCCCUCGGCUUAACUGAGGACGUGCGGAAGAAACUGCAAGGCUCGAGUCCGGGAGAGGGGGGUGGAAUUCCCAGUGUAGCGGUGAAAUGCGUGGAUAUUGGGAGGAACACCGGUGGCGAAGGCGGCCCCCUGGACCGGUACUGACGCUGAGGCGCGAAAGCGUGGGUAGCAAACGGG
rnacentral:rRNA from 1 species